rnacentral:misc_RNA from 1 species
GCACGGCGAUGUAGAUCCUCCCGUGCCGUCCACCAGAGGCAGCACCGUACUCCUCGCGAGCACAGACCAGCAGCGGUCGGACAGGAGCCACAAGGCAGCAGUGGAAGGUGAGUCGAUGUCGGCAUGUCCCACAUUGACAGCUUAUAGCCCUGCUGUCUGGUGCCCCAGCCUGACCGAGGAAUCAGGGUAGUCUUUGCCCGUUUUGGUGCACGCCAUAUGGCGGGGCCUCCCGAUGGGAGUGAACCGUGCAGUGUGGACUGCGUGCAGUGUUCACCGCAGCGGCGAUCCCCUGUGGGUGAGUGCCACCUGUGUGCCAGUGCUGCUGGCAUUUAGAC